rnacentral:rRNA from 1 species
UCUUUAUAUAAGAAAAAGUGUAAUUAAUUUAUUUUAUAAAAAUUUAAGUUCGUAUUGUAUUUUAUUGGGGCAAUGUAAAUAUAAUUUAUUUAACUGUUUAUUAUAAUUAACAUAAUUUAUGAAUUAAUUGAUCCUUUUUAGAGAUUAAAAGAAGAAGUU